rnacentral:rRNA from 1 species
GACGAACGCGGGCGGCGUGCCUAAUACAUGCAAGUAGAACGCUGAAGGAAGGAGCUUGCUCUUUCCGGGUGAGUUGCGAACGGGUGAGUAAACGCGUAGGUAACCUGCCUGGUAGCGGGGGAUAACUAUUGGAAACGAUAGCUAAUACCGCAUAACAGUAGAUAUCGCAUGAUAGCUGCUUGAAAGGUGCAAAUGCACCACUACCAGAUGGACCUGCGUUGUAUUAGCUAGUUGGUGAGGUAACGGCUCACCAAGGCAACGAUACAUAGCCGACCUGAGAGGGUGAUCGGCCACACUGGGACUGAGACACGGCCCAGACUCCUACGGGAGGCAGCAGUAGGGAAUCUUCGGCAAUGGACGGAAGUCUGACCGAGCAACGCCGCGUGAGUGAAGAAGGUUUUCGGAUCGUAAAGCUCUGUUGUAAGAGAAGAACGAGUGUGAGAGUGGAAAGUUCACACUGUGACGGUAUCUUACCAGAAAGGGACGGCUAACUACGUGCCAGCAGCCGCGGUAAUACGUAGGUCCCGAGCGUUGUCCGGAUUUAUUGGGCGUAAAGCGAGCGCAGGCGGUUAGAUAAGUCUGAAGUUAAAGGCUGUGGCUUAACCAUAGUACGCUUUGGAAACUGUUUAACUUGAGUGCAAGAGGGGAGAGUGGAAUUCCAUGUGUAGCGGUGAAAUGCGUAGAUAUAUGGAGGAACACCGGUGGCGAAAGCGGCUCUCUGGCUUGUAACUGACGCUGAGGCUCGAAAGCGUGGGGAGCAAACAGG